GUGCUCACUUCGGCAGCACGUAUACUAAAAUUGGAACCAUACAGAGAAGAUUAGCAUGGCCCCUGCACAAGGAUGACACGCAAAUUCGUGAAGCGUUCCAUAUUUUU
ensembl:snRNA U6 U6 spliceosomal RNA